rnacentral:sRNA from 1 species
GAGAGCCUGGGCAGGCAGCAGCUGGCUGACCAAGUCCACUGGAAGAGAAGGCUUGUGCCAGCCGGGAGAAGGAAGCCGGGGACAGGAUGAAAGCAACAACACCUUUACAGACAGUCGACCGGCCCAAGGACUGGUACAAGACGAUGUUUAAGCAAAUUCACAUGGUGCACAAGCCGGGUCUGUACAACCCACCCUACAGUGCUCAGUCACACCCUGCUGCAAAGACCCAAACCUACAGACCUCUUUCCAAAAGCCACUCUGACAACAGCCCCAAUGCCUUUAAGGAUGUGUCCUCCCCAGUGCCUCCCCCACAUGUUCCACCUCCAGUCCCACCGCUUCGACCAAGAGAUCGGUCUUCAACAGAAAAGCAUGACUGGGAUCCUCCAGACAGAAAAGUGGACACAAGAAAAUUUCGGUCUGAGCCAAGGAGUAUUUUUGAAUAUGAACCUGGCAAGUCAUCAAUUCUUCAGCAUGAAAGACCAGUUACCAAGCCUCAAGCUUCCUGAUUGAUUGUCAUUCUAAUGGAUCAAGAUUAUAUUUCACUUUGCAUUUAAU